rnacentral:rRNA from 1 species
AGACGCUGGCGGCGUGCCUAACACAUGCAAGUCGAGCGGAGGAUUCGAGAUGUUUACAUCGAAGGAUCCUUAGCGGCGGACGGGUGAGUAACACGUGGGUAACCUGCCUCAGAGUGGGGGAUAGCCUUUCGAAAGGAAGAUUAAUACCGCAUAAGAUUGCACUGCCACAUGGCAGAGCAAGAAAAGGACGCAAGUCCGCUUUGAGAUGGACCCGCGGCGCAUUAGCUAGUUGGUGAGGUAACGGCUCACCAAGGCCACGAUGCGUAGCCGACCUGAGAGGGUGAUCGGCCACAUUGGAACUGAGACACGGUCCAGACUCCUACGGGAGGCAGCAGUGGGGAAUAUUGCACAAUGGGCGAAAGCCUGAUGCAGCAACGCCGCGUGAGUGAUGAAGGCCUUCGGGUCGUAAAGCUCUUUGAUCAGGGAUGAUAAUGACAGUACCUGAAAAACAAGCCACGGCUAACUACGUGCCAGCAGCCGCGGUAAUACGUAGGUGGCGAGCGUUGUCCGGAAUUAUUGGGCGUAAAGGAUGCGUAGGUGGAUAUUUAAGUGGGAUGUGAAAUCCCCGGGCUCAACCCGGGAACUGCAUUCCAUACUGGAUGUCUAGAGUGCAGGAGAGGAAAGUGGAAUUCCUAGUGUAGCGGUGAAAUGCGUAGAUAUUAGGAGGAACACCAGUGGCGAAGGCGACUUUCUGGACUGUAACUGACACUGAGGCAUGAAAGCGUGGGUAGCAAACAGGAUUAGAUACCCUGG